GGAUGGAGGGGUUCAGCUAAAGAGGCUUCAGCUGAACCUUGCUUCCUCCAUUGACUCUGCUUGUCAGUAACCAGUUGGGAAGGACACGAAUGGUGAUCACAUGACCCCAGGGCAUCGCAAAUAUCAUGUCAUAAGUACUUUCCAUUUGCCAAGUGCCUGAAUUUUAAUCAAAUGAUCAUGCAGAAUGCUGGGAAGGUUAUAAGCAUGAAGACAGGUUGUAAAUCGCUCUUUUUCACUGCUGCUAUUAUUUGAACAGUCACUAAAUGAAUGGUUGUAAAUUGAGGAUUAUCUGUAAUGCAUUAUUCUAAAGUUUAUGCCUACAAAAAUGUCAAUAUAUGUAUUGGAAAAAUGUAUACAUUUUUAUACAUGUAUGUAAUUAUAUCUUAAAGUGGAAAUGGACAGAAAUUAUGGGUAAAAUAUACAAAAAUGAUACAGAAUGGAAAAAGAUACACACACCUCAUCUUCAUAUUAUAGAUUUUAUUUUAUAUACAGAAAGGUGGGUAUAUAGCUCACCCUAUAUGUUUUUUUCUCACUAUGAUACAGUCCCCCAAUCCAAUCAAUGUCAAUUCUAGUACAGAGUAGGGAAUCAAUUUAUGUUUCUACUGACUUCUUUAAAAUGAUCCAUUAGAAAAUCUACUUUAACUUUUUCAGUUUCCACUAAUUUAUAGAGCAUUGCUAAAUGACAUUUCCUAAUAUUAUUUUCCUAAAUUAUACUAUGCAAGUCAUAGAAAUAAUGACUUACAUUUGGAAUUGUAAAAAGGGUAGUGAUAGCUAGCUGUUGUUCCUUUUUCUACUAUUUUUUACUCUUCUUCCAGUACUAGUGCUAUUAUGGAUUUGCAAUUAAAAAGUUGCUGUUUUAUUGCUGCUUCAUUUCUUUAAUGUAUACCAUUAUAUGUAUACGAAAAUGUAUACCAAAUGAAAAUCAUUUGAAAAUUGCAAAGAACAGCUGUAACUCGUUGAGUCAAUCACAAAACAGGAUAUCUUGAAGUCUGUUUUAAAAUUCUCUGUUUGUAUGUGCAUGCAUAUAUGCGGGUAUACACGUACACUCACAGACAUAUAAGAUCUGGGGAAUAUUGAGUUUCAUAACAGGCAAGAAUUUUGCAGUAACUAUUACUCAAAUAGCAGUAACAGAUUCUCAAUCUUCAAAGAAUUUUCAAGUUUUUGUAUUAUUAAAAUGGGAAAAUUGGUUGGAUCCAGAACUUUUUUGAUCUGCCUUAAAAGCUGUGGGCUAGGGAAAUGAUCUCUAUAGCUGUCAAAGUUUAUCUUGUACACAGGAGUGACAAAGAAACUCCAGUCUCCCUGUAAACAGAAACAUUGAGAAAUCUACACUUAUGUGGUCUAUAUUAUUAGAUCUGUCUCAUGCCAACAUUCGUUUUUUACCAUCUAAUCAUCACGUAGUAAUCAUCUCCAACUGUCACUUAGCCAACAAGCAAAACCUCAGGCUUUAAAGAGCAAGCGCUAAACCAUAAUCUCAGUUGAGAGAUUGGACUGCCAUAAGAAAGGAGAGCGAAAAGGAGACAGUAAGGCCUAUUUCAUUCUUCUUCUGAAAAGAUAGCUCUUUUGGCCCUUCCCAAUUGUAAUCCAUCCCAAAAAGAUUCUUUUAUGUCCCCAAACCUUUCUUCAUCCCAUCUGGUCAUGAUAAGUGUAGUAAUUUUAAGAAGUGGACUUUAAUUGCUUCCCGCCCCCUCCUUAUCACUAUUCAGAUUGCCUUCCUAUAUGUCAUAUCUCUUGAAUUGUUCAUUUUAAGCAAAAUAUCUCAUUCUCUGACAUUUGUAAUUUUCUGCUGAAGGUAAAGAAUCAGGCAAUUAUGAUUCCAGUUUGGAUUAGAUUGCUGUGUAGCAAUCUGUGUAGCUGUGUAAGGCACCAGGCUAGAAACCAGGAGACCAUGAGUUCCAGUCCUGCCUAAGUACAAAGCCAGCUGGCCAAUCACUCCCUCUCAGCUCUAAGAAAGAGGCAAUGGCAAACUACUUCUGAACUCUUGCCAAGAGAACUUUAGGGAUUUAUCCAGGCAGUUGCCAAGAGUCAAAUGAAGGCUAGAAAAGAAACAUGGCAAGGCAAAAGAAAGAACACACACACAAAAAAUCAGCAAAUGACAACAAGACCUGCCAACAGCUAUCAGCAGGAAAGUUGAAUAAAGAGACAGAUGGGCUAAUUCUACCUGUACAAGACCAAGCCAUAAGAACAAAUGCACACAAAGCCAGAAUUGAGAAGAUAGCAACACCAAAAAAAUGCAUUCUCUAAAAAGAAUCUGAAGAAUCAGUGGACCAGCUAGUUAGGUACUGCAAGAAGAUAGCACAUCCACACAACACUUGAACUUAACAAUUAUUAAUAAGUAAAGACAAAAAAAGCCUAAAUAGUGGACUUUGCAGUACUUGGACAGAAUAGAAGAGAAAGGGGAAAAAAAUCACAAAAUACAAGGACUUGCAAAUAGAAGUAUAAUGACGGUGGCACAAGAAACCAGAGAUAGUGUCAAUAAUAAUGGAUGCAAUCACAAAACAACUGGCACACCACUUGAACACCACCAGCAUUGACCAAAUUACCAUCACUCACUUCCAAAAGGCAACUUUACUCAGAAUACCUUACAUCCUGUAACGAUAUUUUUAACACACCAAACAAUGAGAUCUGCCUAUCCCAGGUUCUUGGGAAGGACUCAAAGGUGGAUAAAAAUGCCAAAUCCAGUCUAAAUAUCUAGCUGACUUGUGGGCCAACAACAAUAAUAUUAAUGUAUUCUUCUUGCAUAGAAUACAGUAAUAAUAAUGGCUGCAAUAAACUGAAUCAUUAUAUAAUUUAGUAGUUUUUGAUAACUAACCCAGGAUUUCUGUUCUGUAUUUAUAGGUGACAUUUGAUAUGAAUGAAAAGACAUAGGGUAUGUCUUUUGUGCUUCAUAAAUUACAUAUUAUUAAUUCUAAAUUAUACCAAUCUUACCUGUAAAUAGAUAUUAUGCACUUAAUAAUAUUUAGCAUGUUGGUAUCUCGGUUCUUUUGCAUUGAUCAGUUGGUGAUAGAUGAGUUUAUUUAUUUGCUGUAUGUGAAAGUUCGUUCUCUGUAUCAAGUUUGUUUAGUCCACUAACUUUGUUAACCUUUGCGUUAUUUGGUGUCUUUUUGUAAGUAGCCUGGAUGGAAAAUAGUUACAUCAGGGUUAAGGGUCACAGUCAUUAUGGGAUUUCAAGUUAAAAUACACUCUGCUCUUGAGGAUCAGAAUCUGUUUAUGCAUAAUUAUUUUCUUUGUGAGAAUUUCUAUGAAGAAGAUUAUUAUAAUAUAUAAACCAUCUGGGGGAGCUUUAAUACGUACCUAGCUGCUUAAUGAAAUAACAAUCCAAACUUUGCCAAGAAACAGCUACAUUCCAUCAGUCCUCAAUAUUAAUAUAGUUAUUACUACUUGUGGAAAUUCAAUUAACUAGAAAUGGAAAGAACAUUAUACAUCAUGCCAAUAUAUUUAUUAAAAGUGUGGGUCUUUUGCAAAAUUAAGAGUUUCACAAUAUAUCAAAACAAAGAGCUUAUAGUAUUGUAACAUUGUAUGUAGCAUCAAUUCAGUUUUCAAACAAUCAUUUGUGUCAUGCUAUUUCUGUAUCAUUUUCUUUUUGUCAAAACACCAAAUAAAAUUUGAAAGUUCCCA